ensembl:snRNA U6 U6 spliceosomal RNA
GUGCUCAUUUCAGCACACAUACACUAAAAUUGGAACAAUACAGAGAAGAUUAGUGAGGCCUCUGUGCAAGGAGGACACAUAGUUUCAUUAAUUGUUCCAUUACAAA